rfam:Gossypium arboreum cultivar AKA8401 contig_151142_1, whole genome shotgun sequence.
UAUGGUUUAAUUCGAUGCAAAGUGAAGAACCUUACCAGGGCUUGACAUGCCGCAAAUCCUCUUGAAAGAGAGGGGUGCCUUCGGGAUCGCGGACACAGGUGGUUAAUGGCUGUCGUCAGCUCGUGCCGUAAGGUGUUGGGUUAAGUUCCGCAACGAGCGCAACCCUCGUGUUUAGACCAGAAGCUGAACUUGAUGUUGAGAAUUCAAUGUUCAGAGCUCAAUUGCCUCACCCAGAUCCUCGAGAUGAGCUGUCAAAGUUGAUGGACAUAAUGCAACAUAUG